rnacentral:misc_RNA from 1 species
GCACUUGACGCUGUCACCAGCGGAAGCGGCUUGACAUUUGGCAGGGAUAGGCGGCGAGGGUGCUGCUUGGCCCUGCCUGAAACGGAGUGAGAGGGAAGGGUGCACUCGUGUCACUGAGAUACCACGCAGUGUAAGGCGUCGCCUAUCGUCAGGGAGUAAUAGUUGUGUGCCGGAGCAAGAAGACAGGAUGUGUACUCACUUCUCUUCUCCUGAACGCGCCACGCAAUGCGACCGCCGCUGUGAGAAGCGAAAGGCCCCACUUCAGUGCCGAGUGUGUGCAGCGCACUGGUUGGACGGGCAUGGGUGUAUUCUACCAUGACCACACCACCGCUGCCACCACAAACCGUUUCGCGCCUUUCGUCUCUCAUUGCAACGGCUGCUUCUGUCUCUUGCACUUUUCACGCGCUCUUUCUCUCUCUGUGUGCGUGUCUUCCGUAUGGUGGUGGCUGCACCCGUGCGCUGCACUCCCUCGCGCAUUCGCCGGCCUCUCUCUCGUUUUUCCUUCAUGUGGAGCAG